AUGGGAACGAGCAGCCACCUUCAUUGGAAACGAAUUAGUUUGACGACUUCCAACAGCCCUGGUUGGUUCCCUAAAAAACAGACGCCUGAACUGUCUCUCGGCUCAGGACCGUCACUGUGCACUGAUGUCCACACCGGGUCUGCUGCUGUCCGCUGGUCCUCCUUGGUGGGGCUGGAUUUAUACCCGUCUUGGGGGGUCUCUCGCCGCCUCUCUGCCUUGGAGGUCUGUGUGCCAUCGGGGCUCACCUCCCCUCGGGGUCAGCUGGAGACUGCCAGGGUCACACAUUUCUGAUCUCCAAACCUCAAUUUAUAGCUGAAGGUUAUGACUUUCAAGAUUCUCAUGGUUUCCUGUUAAAUCGAGCUGAGUGUUGUUGAAGGCUAUGUGGGGCUUUUUUUUUUGUUUCUUCUCUAUUUUCUUUUUACAGUAAACCUGCCUUUGAUUUUUAUUUUUCAGUUCUUUUUUUAUCAAGGUAGACCUAUAGCUUUGUACAUCAGCUGAUUACACGUCCUUUAGGAAUGAAACAGUGUGUUCCAUAGAUCCUUUAAAGCAGUUUGUUUGCUUUGCUUUGCUCUUGUUUUCAGCUAAUUGGAUAUUAAACUCAUCAAUACAGUGACACAAACUGUUCCCCUACAAAUAAGUUUAGUGUUUUCUACUGAAUUUUUUCUGUGACUCUUAAAGUGUUCGUGUAAGAUUUCAAAUGCUGGAGCUACAAAAGCAGUAGUCUUCAAGUUUAUCACAAGACAGUAAUAAUCUUUAAAAAUGUUCCAGUCGAAUGGGGCAAUGACUGGAUUGUUACUUUCAAUCCCAGCUGCUUAACCUUUCCUGUUUUUAGAGACUAACUGUAGUGCAGGAACUCCGUAUGGGAAUUACCUCCCCUUCCUUACGUUUGCAUAAAAAAAAACAGCUGAAAAUGUAAACUCCUAAAGUUGGACUGCCACGGUUUCUAAUUCAACACAAUGGCAGCAACAAAUGUAUUUUCACACCAGGGUUACAAAUUCUUCAGCAGGGAGGACUUUUCUUUCAAAAGGAGAAUUACUCUUUAAUGUGUGAAUGAGGUGUGUUUUAUACAAAUACAGAGUACAGAGGUUAAGCUUUAAGCUUUUUACACUUCAUAUACAAAUACUCUAAGGGGAGACACUGUUGGUUUGUUAAAUGUAUGACUAAUUAAGAAUAUCUCACUGUUUCUAGUUACAUCAGAUUUUCUCCUACCUCUGUGUACCUCCAUUUUUAUUCUUGUGUUAUUUGCAAUGUUGUAAUCUCUUUUCACUUGUUAUUGUACAAAUAAAAAUCAUUGAGCAUCUUGCUACACUUCAGUCUGAGAUAUUUCUAAGACAAUGCUCUUUGAAUGAUAAUGGGAGGUUAUGUUAUUUGAUCCACGAAAGAAGGACUUGCAUCGUUAACAAGAAACAAAUACGAUGGGGAAAUUGGAACUGUCCAUGUGACAAAAUUGCCAUUUUGAAAAUUACUGGUUUUGCAUUUGAAAAACAUGCAUUUGAAAAACAUGUCAAUCAGAAGUGCCAUUCUAAAAGAACAACUUUCAACUACAGUCCACACUGCUACACAUUGCAGAUGGAGUUUCUCAUAUAGGCAGUGAAAUAAAUUAGGCUACUUCAAACUGAAUCAUAGAUGAUUUCAAACUUAAAAAUGCUACAGGUUCUUGGACUUAUUGUGUUAACUUGUGAAGAAAGAAAACUAUAAUCAUGAAAAAAUUGAGCAAAGAAAACAAUUUAUUGCAUCUGAAUAUGUACUCAGUCAACAGGUAAUAACCUGUUUUGUGUUAUUAGUGAAUCUGUUUCAAUAUAGACAAAUGUAUCAGUUGAAGAAGAAUACUAAAUGAUUGUUCAACAUUUUAAAGUAUUCCAGUUUUGUUUUUAACAUAGUAGUGUGGAUCCCAGUGCAUUAAAAGAUUUUCCAUUAUCCGAGUUUGUUUUGCGGAUGAGAACACAAAACCAUGAGAACAGUCACAGAUGAGUGGACGUUAUUUGACC
ensembl:lincRNA